GAUGAACGCUAGCGGCAGGCCUAACACAUGCAAGUCGAGGGGCAACGGGUGUAGCAAUACAUGCCGGCGACCGGCGCACGGGUGAGUAACGCGUAUGUAAUCUGCCUCAUACAGGGGGAUAACUCGAAGAAAUUCGGACUAAUAUCCCAUAAAUAAUAUUUUCGGCAUCGAGAAUAUUUUAAAGGAGCAAUCCGGUAUGAGAUGAGCAUGCGUAUCAUUAGCUAGUUGGAGAGGUAACGGCUCUCCAAGGCGACGAUGAUUAGGGGUUCUGAGAGGAUAAUCCCCCACACCGGGACUGAGACACGGCCCGGACUCCUACGGGAGGCAGCAGUGAGGAAUAUUGGUCAAUGGUCGGAAGACUGAACCAGCCAUGCCGCGUGCAGGAAGACGGUCCUAUGGAUUGUAAACUGCUUUUGUAAUAGAACAAUAAGACGUACGAGUACGUCGAUGAGAGUAUAUUACGAAUAAGCAUCGGCUAACUCCGUGCCAGCAGCCGCGGUAAUACGGAGGAUGCGAGCGUUAUCCGGAUUCAUUGGGUUUAAAGGGUGCGUAGGCGGCAUAUUAAGUCCGUGUAGAAAUGCCGGGGCUCAACCCCGGCGCUAGCAUAGAAACUGGUAAGCUUGAAUACGAAUGAAGUUGGAGGAAUGUGUGGUGUAGCGGUGAAAUGCAUAGAUAUCACACAGAAGGCCAAUUGCGAAGGCAUCUGACUAAUUCGAUAUUGACGCUGAUGCACGAAAGCGUGGGGAUCAAACAGGAUUAGAUACCCUGGUAGUCCACGCUGUAAACGAUGAUAACUAGCUGUUGGCUCAUUUACGAGUCAGUAGCACAGCGAAAGCGAUAAGUUAUCCACCUGGGGAGUACGACCGCAAGGUUGAAACUCAAAGGAAUUGACGGGGGCCCGCACAAGCGGAGGAACAUGUGGUUUAAUUCGAUGAUACGCGAGGAACCUUACCCGGGCUCGAACGGUUAGAAUAUAUUGCAGAUGAAAGUUUGCAUCUACGCAAGUAGAUUCUACCGAGGUGCUGCAUGGUUGUCGUCAGCUCGUGCCGUGAGGUGUCGGCUUAAGUGCCAUAACGAGCGCAACCCUUGUUAUCUGUUGCCAUCGGGUCAAGCCGGGGACUCAGAUAAGACUGCCUGCGUAAGCAGUGAGGAAGGGGGGGAUGACGUCAAAUCAGCACGGCCCUUACGUCCGGGGCGACACACGUGUUACAAUGGAUAGGACAGCGGGUCGCUACCUGGCAACAGGAUGCAAAUCCCCAAAACUAUUCUCAGUUCGGAUUGGAGUCUGCAACUCGACUCCAUGAAGCUGGAUUCGCUAGUAAUCGCGCAUCAGCCACGGCGCGGUGAAUACGUUCCCGGGCC
rnacentral:rRNA from 1 species